rnacentral:rRNA from 1 species
GCAUAAGCGCACGAAGCCGCAUGGAUUUGUGUGAAAAACUCCGGUGGUGUAAGAUGGACCCGCGUCUGAUUAGCUUGUUGGCGGGGUAACGGCCCACCAAGGCGACGAUCAGUAGCCGGCCUGAGAGGGUGGACGGCCACAUUGGGACUGAGACACGGCCCAAACUCCUACGGGAGGCAGCAGUGGGGGAUAUUGGACAAUGGGGGGAACCCUGAUCCAGCGACGCCGCGUGAGUGAAGAAGUAUUUCGGUAUGUAAAGCUCUGUCAGCAGGGAAGAAAGAAAUGACGGUACCUGACCAAGAAGCCCCGGCUAACUACGUGCCAGCAGCCGCGGUAAUACGUAGGGGGCAAGCGUUAUCCGGAAUUACUGGGUGUAAAGGGAGCGUAGACGGUUAAGUAAGUCUGGAGUGAAAGGCCGGGGCCCAACCCCGGGACUGCUCUGGAAACUAUUCAACUUGAGUGCAGGAGAGGUAAGCGGAAUUCCUAGUGUAGCGGUGAAAUGCGUAGAUAUUAGGAGGAACACCAGUGGCGAAGGCGGCCUACUGGGCUUUAACUGACGCUGAGGCACGAAAGCGUGGGUAGCAAACAGGAUUAGAUACCCUGGUAGUCCACGCUGUAAACGAUGAUUACUA